UGGCUUCAUCAGAAGGAAGCUGGUCUCACACCCCUGGCCAUACGACAGACCAGCAACAGUGGAGGCACUGGGCACGGUGUCAAUACACAGAGGUCCAACGGGGCAGGAGGAGACCAUGUAACCCUAAUUCCCUGAAGGAAAGAACUGCCUGGCUCCAGCAGGUGAUGGCUCAAGAACUUGGGAGACCCAGACUGAGUUCCAGGACCCUGGUUUCAGCUUAGCCCAAGAAAAUCAGAUGCAAAUCAACCAAGUUCUUCUGCUACCACAAAAAGAAACGUAUUUAUCAUACAAGAGGAUGCAGUAGAUUGCUAAAUGCACAAAGACUUUGAAAUGUAAGAUGCUUGUGGGAAAAAAAAUGCCAGCUGCUUUUUCCUCUUCCUCAAGGACUAAGCUUCCUCUCGGUUGCCGCCAUCUCCCACUCGCUGCUGGGAAAACAGGGCCCAGCCAAAGCAACACGUCUGGGAUAAU